GGGGUUUUAGCUCAGUGGUAGAGCGCUUGCCUAGCAAGCGCAAGGCCCUGGGUUCGGUUCCCAGCUCCG
rnacentral:tRNA from 1 species